rnacentral:rRNA from 1 species
AUUGAACGCUGGCGGCAGGCCUAAAACAUGCAAGUCGAGCGAGCGGCGGACGGGUGAGUAAUGUAUGGGGACUGCCCGAUAGAGGGGGAUAACUACUGGAAACGGUGGCUAAUACCGCAAAAUGGCGGAUAACCCAUAUGGGAUUAGCUAGUAGGUAAGGUAAUGGCUUACCUAGGCGACGAUCCCUAGCUGGUCGGCGAGGAUGAUCAGCCACACGUGGACUGAGACACGGCCCAGACUCCUACGGAGGCAGAAGUGGGGAAUAUUGCAAAAUGGGCGCAAGCCUGAUGCAGCCAUGCCGCGUGUAUGAAGAAGGCCCUAGGGUUGUAAAGUACUUUCAGUCGGGAGGCGUUACCGACAGAAGAAGCACCGGCUAACUCCGUGCCAGCAGCCACGGUAAUAC